rnacentral:rRNA from 1 species
GACGAACGCUGGCGGCGUGCCUAACACAUGCAAGUCGAGCGAGGGAAACUCUUCGGAGUGGAACUAGCGGCGGACGGGUGAGUAACACGUGGGCAACCUGCCUCGUAGAGGGGAAUAGCCUUUCGAAAGGAAGAUUAAUACCCCAUAAGAUUGUAGUUCCGCAUGGAAUAGCAAUUAAAGGAGUAAUCCGCUACGAGAUGGGCCCGCGUCGCAUUAGCUAGUUGGUAAGGUAAUGGCUUACCAAGGCGACGAUGCGUAGCCGACCUGAGAGGGUGAUCGGCCACAUUGGGACUGAGACACGGCCCAGACUCCUACGGGAGGCAGCAGUGGGGAAUAUUGCACAAUGGGGGAAACCCUGAUGCAGCAACGCCGCGUGAGUGAUGACGGUCUUCGGAUUGUAAAGCUCUGUCUUCAGGGACGAUAAUGACGGUACCUGAGGAGGAAGCCACGGCUAACUACGUGCCAGCAGCCGCGGUAAUACGUAGGUGGCGAGCGUUGUCCGGAUUUACUGGGCGUAAAGGGAGCGUAGGCGGAUUUUUAAGUGGGAUGUGAAAUACUCGGGCUCAACCUGAGUGCUGCAUUCCAAACUGGAAAUCUAGAGUGCAGGAGAGGAAAGUGGAAUUCCUAGUGUAGCGGUGAAAUGCGUAGAGCUUAGGAAGAACACCAGUGGCGAAGGCGACUUUCUGGACUGUAACUGACGCUGAGGCUCGAAAGCGUGGGGAGCGAACAGGAUUAGAUACCCUGGGUAGUCCACGCCGUAAACGAUGAAUACUAGGUGUAGGGGUUGUCAUGACCUCUGUGCCGCCGCUAACGCAUUAAGUAUUCCGCCUGGGGAGUACGGUCGCAAGAUUAAAACUCAA